rnacentral:rRNA from 1 species
AACGAACGCUGGCGGCAUGCCUAACACAUGCAAGUCGAACGAAGGCUUCGGCCUUAGUGGCGCACGGGUGCGUAACGCGGGGGAAUCUGCCCUUUGGUUCGGAAUAACAGCUGGAAACGGCUGCUAAUACCGGAUGAUGACGAACGUCCAAAGAUUUUUCGCCAGAGGAUGAGCCCGCGUUGGAUUAGGUAGUUGGUGGGGUAAAGGCCGGCCAAGCCGACGAUCCAUAGCUGGUCGGAGAGGAUGCUCAGCCGCGCUGGGACUGAGACACGGCCCACACUGCGACGCAACGCAGCAGUGGGGAGUAUUGGAGGCGGAGCGCAAGCCUGACCAAGCCGCGCCGCGUGAGUGAUGAAUGCGCUAGGAUUGUAAAUCUGUCUUAGCCGGGAAGAUAAUGACGGUACCGGGAGAAUAAGCCCCGGCUAACUCCGUG